CUCCCUGACCCAGGAAUCAAACCAGGGUCUCCUGCAUUGUAGGCAGAUUCUUUACCAGCUGAGCUACCAGGGA
rnacentral:tRNA from 1 species